UUAAAUGUUCAGGAUAAUGUCGGUAAAUGUUCAGGGGUUGAACACUGUUGUUAAAAGAAACAGGUUAUAUCAUUCGUUAAUACAAGAAAAUAUUCAAAUCAGUUUUUUACAAGAAACACAUUGGUUACAAAAUAAGCCGCAAAAUUGGGGAGGAGAUAGAUUCCCUCUAAUCAAACAUGCAUCUUUAAAUAAAAAGAAAAGAGGUGUUGCAAUAGUGUUCUCUAGAGAGAUUGAAGUAGAUAUUAAAUAUCAGUAAUCUGAUGAAUUUGCCAGAUAUCUAAUUUUGGUGUGCGA